GUAAUUGUGGCUGAGUGGUAAAGGCGGUAGACUUGAAAUCUACUGGGGUUUCCCUGCACAGGUUCAAAUCCUGUCAACUACA
rnacentral:tRNA from 2 species